rnacentral:rRNA from 1 species
UACGUAGGGGGCAAGCGUUGUCCGGAAUCAUUGGGCGUAAAGCGCGUGUAGGCGGCCCGGUAAGUCCGCUGUGAAAGUCCAGGCUCAACCCUGGGAUGCCGGUGGAUACUGUCGGGCUCGAGUCCGGAAGAGGAGUGUGGAAUUCCUGGUGUAGCGGUGAAAUGCGUAGAUAUCGGGAGGAACACCUGCGGCGAAGGCGGCUUCCUGGACUGCAACUGACGC